rnacentral:rRNA from 1 species
UAGGGAAUCUUCGGCAAUGGACGAAAGUCUGACCGAGCAACGCCGCGUGAGUGAAGAAGGUUUUCGGAUCGUAAAACUCUGUUGUUAGAGAAGAACAAGGACGUUAGUAACUGAACGUCCCCUGACGGUAUCUAACCAGAAAGCCACGGCUAACUACGUGCCAGCAGCCGCGGUAAUACGUAGGUGGCAAGCGUUGUCCGGAUUUAUUGGGCGUAAAGCGAGCGCAGGCGGUUUCUUAAGUAUGAUGUGAAAGCCCCCGGCUCAACCGGGGAAGGUCAUUAGAAACUGGGAGACUUGAGUGCAGAAGAGGAGAGUGGAAUUCCAUGUGUAGCGGUGAAAUGCGUAGAUAUAUGGAGGAACACCAGUGGCGAAGGCGGCUCUCUGGUCUGUAACUGACGCUGAGGCUCGAAAGCGUGGGGAGCAAACAGG